rnacentral:rRNA from 1 species
CCCUUUGUGAACAUACCUAUAACUGUUGCUUCGGCGGGUAGGGUCUCCGUGACCCUCCCGGCCUCCCGCCCCCGGGCGGGUCGGCGCCCGCCGGAGGAUAACCAAACUCUGAUUUAACGACGUUUCUUCUGAGUGGUACAAGCAAAUAAUCAAAACUUUUAACAACGGAUCUCUUGGUUCUGGCAUCGAUGAAGAACGCAGCGAAAUGCGAUAAGUAAUGUGAAUUGCAGAAUUCAGUGAAUCAUCGAAUCUUUGAACGCACAUUGCGCCCGCCAGCAUUCUGGCGGGCAUGCCUGUUCGAGCGUCAUUUCAACCCUCAAGCUCUGCUUGGUGUUGGGGCCCUACAGCUGAUGUAGGCCCUCAAAGGUAGUGGCGGACCCUCCCGGAGCCUCCUUUGCGUAGUAACUUUACGUCUCGCACUGGGAUCCGGAGGGACUCUUGCCGUAAAACCCCCAAUUCUCCAAAGGUUGACCUCGGAUCAGGUAGGAAUACCCGCUGAACUUAAGCAUAUCAAA